rnacentral:rRNA from 1 species
CCUACGGGUGGCAGCAGUGGGGAAUAUUGGGCAAUGGGCGCAAGCCUGACCCAGCAACGCCGCGUGAAGGAAGAAUGCUUUCGGGUUGUUAACUCCUUUUCUCAGGGACGCAGUAAGUGACGGUACUUGAGGAAUAAGCCAUGGCUAACUACGUGCCAGCAGCCGCGGUAAUACGUAGGUGGCAAGCGUUAUCCGGAUUUAUUGGGUGUAACGGGCGUGUAGGCGGGAGCGCAAGUCAGAUGUGAAAACUCAGGGCUCAACCCUGAGCCUGCAUUUGAAACUGUGUUUCUUGAGUGCUGGAGAGGCAAUCGGAAUUCGGGGUGUAGCGGUGAAAUGCGUAGAUAUACGGAGGAACACCAGUGGCGAAGGCGGAUUGCUGGACAGUAACUGACGCUGAGGCGCGAAAGCGUGGGGAGCAAACAGGAUUAGAUACCCCUGUAGUC